GCUGAAUGAUAAUGUCCACAUUCAGGGCAGGUCUCCCUCAUCAGCAUGUGGCCGUUCUGCAUGCCGAUUGUCUCAUAGACCAAUCCAGAAGUGUGCUUUACUAAUUUCACAGACAUCUGUGAUUCUAAUCGAAUCGACAAGAUUAUCUGUGGCACAUAUACUCUUACUACUUUGAUGUCAUUUUUCCUUUUUUCAGAAACUGAAUUUUACCUCUGUUUUCCUCUUUUUCUUUAUCCUCUUUGUUCUCACCCUCUUCCUCAACCAGAGAAAGGAAGAAUUCUUGGCAUUAAUAAGCAGCAUCAAGAGUUUAAAUAUAUCUCAGCUAAGUUACCCAGGCUGGCUUUGAAUUCCUGGGCUCAAGUGAUUCUCCUGCAUCAACCUCCCACGUAGCCAGGACUACAGGGACAAGAAAACAACAUAUGCCAAGGCAAGUGGCCGUGACACAGCAAGAAAAGCUUGAGAAAAUCAGAUGAGAGAUUUUCUAAAAGUAAGAUUUUACAACAGAGAAAUUAGGUCAUUUUGACCUUUUAAAUUUGUAUAAUGACCACAUUGAGAACACUGAUAUCUGCUCAGUACUUUGCCACCUACGAUCCCAGGCCCUGGAUUUAUAAGAUAAGUAGGAAUCAGAUAUUUCAAACAACUUGACCUUUUGUUGUAACCUUUAUUCCAGCCAAACCAUUGCUGUUCCCCAGCACCAGCUUCUGAACUUUUCCUUGUGGAUUCCCACCAUAUUACUUUCUUGAAAAUUGUCUCAUCUAUCCUUGGAUCUCAUUUCAAAUGCUGCCUAACUCAGGACACCAUUUAUCUCCCCCAAAGGUCUGAGCCUUGUCACUUCUCAUGCCUCCCUUUGGAUCUUUCUGUUUAGUUGACUUUCCUUGCUGUCACUUGCAUGCUUGCAUGUCUUUAGCCUGGGAUGCAAAAGUCCAUGAGGGCCAGGAACGAUGUCUUAUCCAUCUUUUCAUCCCCCUUAGAAAUUCAUGCCCCACACAUUUCACACAUAGUACAUGUCAUCUAAAUAUUAAUGAAUUUGAAUUUAGCUAGUCAAACCAUCUUUUGUCUUAUAGACAUAGAGAGUGAGAGCUAAUCCAUAGUUAGUUGUAAAGAGUUCUGGAUCAUUGAAUGAAAGCUGCUUUUCAGCAGAUCAUAAUUGUGCAAGGCUGUUAAGUGUAGACUUUUGAUGAACAGGUUUUGCUCUGUUGCUGAGUUCAUGUUGCCAUGACAACCUUAACUUUUGGCACUUUCUGAAUUUAGUGUCCUACUUAAUUUCCCGUGUUUGGCUCUGAGAAC
rnacentral:lncRNA from 1 species